CAAUUUGAAAACAACUUUUUCCUUCUUCAACGUAGUUAGUUUCUCAUAAAAAAUUCAAUUUCUAUCAGCCGAUCUCGACUGAUUUUGACAAUAUAUUACCACUUCAACCAAACAAUGAUAUACAUUUAAACAAGAGAAAAGUUUACAUUUACAAUAGAAUUAAGAAAUAAAAGCACCCAAAAGAAGAGGAAUGGAAAUUAAGGAAGCACUUAUUUUGGGAAGAUGCUACCACAACUAUGUGAUUCUUUAUGUUCAAACGUAGUUUGUUUUGUGAAAUCGACAUGCUUUCUCAUUUUUUCUUUGAGUGCACAAGUUGUUGGUACCACUUCAACUUCAUUAUCCUUUUCGAUCUUGGAAUUUGAGGAUAUUGAAGUCAAGUUGUCAUGAAGAUUUUGCACAUAAUUGGUACUUUACUUUUGUUUAUGCACAACUGUCUUAAUUCUCAAGCAUCUCCAAUGUUAAAAUUUAAGUCUUUUUCAGUUCACAACUUAUGCUUAUAACAUUCUUAAUGAUCAUAUGUUUUAAGAUCUUCACUUUCACGAUUGGACUUCAUUAUUUUUAACCAACAUUGAACAGGAGAUCAAGUUUAUUUAUUAGGAGAACACAAAUUAUUUGUCAUCUUUGCAACAUUCAGCCAUAUUUGAAAAUUUGUAAAGAGUUUUUCUAUUGACCUUAAGUCCAUCAAGUGCUUCAUAAAUAAUUCAAAAACCUAAAUCAUCACAUAAGUUUAAGCAAUUCAUAUCCUGGUUUUUCUAUUUUAUUACAUGUUAAGCUCCUUGUAACCUAUUAAUUCACCUAUUUUGCAGCAAGUAAGAACCAUCAUAAGCACAUAGUCUUUGGCGGAGUCAAAGCAUGUUGAUCAUAAACAUAACAGAAGCUUAUAAUCUCAUGAUUGUAUUUUUAAUUUUGACAUUCAACAAGGGAAUUCACAUGAUGUCCAAUAUUGCAGUAAAAAUAUUUUGAGCAAUAAUCCAACAGUCAUUGUUCGUUUCAGUAAGAUACUAUUCUGUAUUCAUAUUUAGAGGUACUUUAAUAUUUAAAGAUUUGAUAUUCUUAUGCCCCUAAGCAAUCAUGAUAGUAUAAAUUUCUAUUUAAUAUAGUCAAAGUUCAGAGAAAUUAUAUAUAUCUGUCUUUGUUAAUGUUACUGUGGAAGUGUUUGAAUAAAUAUCUUAUUUUGCUUAUGCCACAAUCUGCUUAAUUGUUGAAUGUUGAAUGAAUAAAGAUAGACACUUGAAAUACUAGCAUUUCAUAUUAUAGGAGAAACAAUUUUUAAGAAUCAAUCUAAAAUAAAGCGUGACAUACAAGUACAUAAAGAUAUCUACCAAUAUCAUCAAAUAAUUUUACGUGGUUAAAGAAAACUUGUUUGAAGAAAUUUAAAAUAAAGCGGUACACUAAUUU
rnacentral:lncRNA from 1 species